AUGUUUGUUUUGUGAGAGGAUACAAUACAACAUUUUCUUAUUUUCUAUUAAGAAUCAGGGAAGCAGUUGGAAUGCAUUUGCAAGAUUUGUCUUUCACUGCAAAAUCAGCUGGAAAUAUUUGGGGAUUUGUCUUCCCAUCACUUCUGGUCACCUUUCUUGUCUCUGCUGAAGAAAACCAAACCCACAGCUUGAUGCUGCUACAAACAUGAUUCUCCCUCCUGAGCCGUGGAUCUGCACAGUUCCCAUGUAACUCGAGGCAGCUCUUCUGCUCUCCAACUCAAAGAAGAUUUGUAAUUGUGCCGUGUUUUCGUCCAUUUUUGGAUGACAAAAUGAACACCGCUCUGUGUUUUGUCAAAAUCUUUGUUGUAUUGUUUUAUAGCCUAACUCUGCAUCAAAACCCUCUGCAACUCUGUCUUCUUCU